GACGAACGCUGGCGGCGUGCUUAACACAUGCAAGUCGAACGGAAAGGCCCUGCUUUUGUGGGGUGCUCGAGUGGCGAACGGGUGAGUAACACGUGAGUAACCUGCCCUUGACUUUGGGAUAACUUCAGGAAACUGGGGCUAAUACCGGAUAGGAGCUCCUGCUGCAUGGUGGGGGUUGGAAAGUUUCGGCGGUUGGGGAUGGACUCGCGGCUUAUCAGCUUGUUGGUGGGGUAGUGGCUUACCAAGGCUUUGACGGGUAGCCGGCCUGAGAGGGUGACCGGCCAAAUUGGGACUGAAAUACGGCCCAGACUCCUACGGGAGGCAGCAGUGGGGAAUAGUGCACAAUGGGCGGAAGCCUGAUGCAGCAACGCCGCGUGCGGGAUGACGGCCUUCGGGUUGUAAACCGCUUUCGCCUGUGACGAAGCGUGAGUGACGGUAAUGGGUAAAGAAGCACCGGCUAACUACGUG
rnacentral:rRNA from 1 species